AUACGGAGGAUCCGAGCGUUAUCCGGAUUUAUUGGGUUUAAAGGGUGCGCAGGCGGCCAUUUAAGUCAGCGGUUAAAUCGUGGGGCUCAACCCCAUUCUGCCGUUGAUACUGGGUGGCUUGACUGCGGUCGAGGUUGGCGGAAUUCGUUGUGUAGCGGUGAAAUGCAUAGAUAUGACGAAGAACACCGAUUGCGUAGGCAGCUGACCAGACCGCAAAUGACGCUCAUGCACGAAAGUGCGGGGAUCGAACAGGAUUAGAUACCCUGGUAGUCCGCACAGUAAACGAUGAAUACUUGUUUUCGGCGAUAUAAUGUCGGAGGCAAAGCGAAAGCGAUAAGUAUUCCACCUGGGGAGUACGCCGGCAACGGUGAAACUCAAAGGAAUUGACGGGG
rnacentral:rRNA from 1 species